UUGUCUUUUAAUUAAAGACUAGAACAAAAGAUUGAACAAUUUAAUUAAUAUAUUAAUAUUAAAUAAUCAAAUUUAUUUUAAAUGUAAAAAAACAUUUAUAUUUUAGGAAGACGACAAGACCCUAUUAAACUUAACUUAAGUUUAACUGGGGCAGUUAAUCAAUUAUUAUUUUAAUAAAAAUAUAAAAAUAAAAGAUCCAAUAUAAUUGAUUAUAUGAUUAAGUUACUAUAGGGAUAACAGCGUAAUAUUAAUCUAAAGAUCUUAUUUAAAUAAAAGAUUACGACCUCGAUGUUG
rnacentral:rRNA from 1 species